AAAUGGAGAAGAUUCCAUCCCAAAAAUCUGUUCUUGCCUAUUCCUGUACCAGAUUUCGAGUUUUCGGAACUCCAGACACCUCCUCUCUUCUCUAAUGGAGCCAUUCACUGGGAAAUAAGUGGAUACUUGCUGGUGUAUCAGGUUGAAGAUGAUUUUUGUGACCUAAUUGAACUGCCAAAUUUCUUGGAAGACUGGUCCUGGCAAUCAACUAUGACUUACAAGCGAUGCUUAUCAGAGUUUCAAGGGCGAGUUCACUAUACUUACACUGAUUUUGAAGGAGUUCACUCCUGGAUUCUUCUCAAUGAACAAGAUCAUGACUAUUACUCAUUAUACAAUAUCUACGAUCGCAAAAAAUUCAGGUGGGCACUAGCUGACAGUGUCAAUCAUCAAGACCUGAGUUUUAAGCAUCAAGAAAUCUACUCCCAUCGCGGCCAGUGGCACAUGGAGCCCUAUGAUGCAUCUCCUUUGUCCUUCAGUGAAGAUUCUGAGACGAUGUAUUUGCAGCUUCCAGGAUUUUUGGUUUCUUACAACACAAGGACAAAGGUUCUUGAAGAAUUCUGCACAUACAUAUUUCCAGGUGUUAAUUUCAAUUGCUGCAUGUUCUUGCCCUUUACAUAUGGCAGGCAAAUUCAGGCAGAAACUGAAAGUGAAUCCUUGGAAGUUGGAGCAGUCCAUUUGCCA
rnacentral:misc_RNA from 1 species